CAUUUAUGUUGUGAAACCAGGUUCAGUAAGCAGAACAAGGACAGCAUAAAUCCUUACAUAUACCUGCCCUUUGGAACUGGACCCCGAAACUGCAUUGGCAUGAGGUUCGCUCUCAUGAACAUGAAACUUGCUGUUGUCAGAGUCCUGCAGAAUUUCUCCUUCAAACCUUGCAAAGAAACACAGAUCCCUCUGGAAUUAAAUACUCUAGCACUUACUAAACCACAAAAACCAAUUUUUCUAAAGGUUGAGUUGAGAGAUGGGACUGUAAGUGGAUCCUGACUUUUCCUAAGGACUUAUGCUUUGUUCUUCAAGGGACCUGUAUCCCACAACACCUGAGACCUCAAUUUACUUUAUGAAUAAAACCCAGAAAUGAAGAUGAGCCUGACCUACUACACUUGAUGGAUGACUAGGAAGUCUGUACAUUCAUUUAGCUUUCUCAGUGUCUACAGAGUAUUCUACACUGUGUAAUAUAAAAGAAGUUACUAAAUAAAUGCCAGAUAUGUAGACCCA